rnacentral:misc_RNA from 1 species
CCUUCUAUGAUAUCUUCUAUUGUUCUCUAUGCCUAUCUUGUGUUCUGUUCCACUAUUUGUUCUACUAUUUGUGCUAUGGACUAACUUUUUUACCCACACCUGUCCAUGAUGUGAGAACUCUUGCUUAUUUAACACCAUACCUAGGCGUCGGCAUGCUGCGUUGCUUUCGGUGAACGCCCUACACUCUUGCAUAUUUCUUAUUACACCCGGGCUCCGAUGUAGCGCAUCGUUAGUAGAGGACGCCCCAAUGUUUAUAUCAUUUGCCCUAUGCUCUAUGAGUAAAUUUCCUGGGUGAAGCAGAAAUCCAAGGAUUUUCCUCCUAAAUCACCAUCUAAGAAAACUGAAACAGGGACCCAAGAGGCUGAUCAAAAUUGAAGUCAAAACUCCUAAAUCCAUUUGGGUCUCUCUCUCUCUCUCUCU